rnacentral:lncRNA from 1 species
GGCGGCCGAGGGCUGCCGAGGGGUAGGAGGGCCGCGCGGGACCCUCGGGCUCGCGGCCCUGAGCGAACUCAGGUAUUCUGGAAGAGCUCCGAGGGGGAGCGGACGAAGGGCCCCUCCUCGCCUCCUCGGCCAGUCGACUCUCAGGCUAAGGGGCCAGCCUGGCCUCCCACAAGCUGCUGAGCGCCCCCUCUACCCGCGGCACGCCUACCACCUCCCGCGGCGAGUGCGGGCGGCCUGCUGGAGCCCACAGGGCAAUAGCGGCAAGUCCCCCUCUCCAGGAGCCAGAGCGAGAAGGUGUUUGCCGUGCGUCCGCAGGACGCGGCAUCUCCUUCCAUUUGCCGAGCGUCGCGCGCCCCUUACCCGAAGACUUCGGGAUAGUGGUGCCGCCACUUCUGCCCGCAUGCCGUCUCCAUCUGCGCGGGCCUGUUUUCCAGCUCCCCAGCUCGUCUCCUACCCAUGCCCGGGGACAUCAUUCCUCAGAUGGGUAGCUGGCUCAGCUUGUCGUGAGAGAGCCCACAGUCAGGACCGGGGCCCAGGAGGGAAUCACUCCUGCGUCAAGUCUCUGGGCCUCGUUGGCCUACUCGACAACAUGAACCAUCUCUCUCUACUCUGCAUGAAAAGUUUUUAUUAUUUGAUGCCCUAUCCUUAUGCUUCUGGCCUUGGAUUUACAAACACCACAUUUUUAUAUGAAAAGAUAUUUUAUACAAGAAAAAAUACAGACACCAAAAGAAUUAAAACUAGUUUCUCUGGAUUUCAGGCACCUUUAUUUGUGGCAGAUGUUUUUGGCCAGGGGGGCUUGCCCCUGAAGCCUGACAUUUAAGGAAGACACUAUCCUUCCAUCCAAGAGCAGCCCUAUCACCUCUGCUUGCCACUCAUGAGGCUUGGAAGCAUCCUGCACACAGGCUUCUGCUGGCCCUGCCCAGGUGGAGUGGGGCAUUGCAGGGCGAGCUCAGGUCUUACCAUUGGCCUGAUCACAGGGCUUUGCAAUUGGAGAACAAUCGUGGCAACUUCAUUUUCUUACAGAGAAAAAUCUGACUCCUCUGUGUUCCUCAUAUAAUUUAUAAAUAGGAAAAAUAUUUAAUAUUAAGUUUAUAAUAUAAAUAAGCCUGGUGAUACAGGAAACUUAAAAAGAAAAAUCAUACUGUUUUAAUUAAGGGUUUCCCUUUAGGAGGGACCAUACCAUCCCUCAACUGUUUCGGUCAUCCACGUUUUUGUUGCGACACACCCUUUUUCUUAACAACCUGCUUCCUUAUCUCAGGAAAUGCAUCAGCUUGCUUCUCUGAUUAAACAUUUGCUCCCCUCUGAAGUGUGGGGCCUUGUUCCUCUGAUUAACCAUUUGCUUUACCCCCCCUAUUAUUGCUUAAAGUGCAGAUGCCCAUUUGCUUUUUACCAGGCAGCUACUUCAAAAUCCUGCCAAUUGCCCUGUCUCAGGAAUGUAAGCUGGCACAAUCACUUUUGGGGGAAAAAAUGCCAUGAUCUGAUAGGCUGAAGAAGUGUUUGUUUUAUGAUCAAGCAGUUCCACUCCUGAGCAUGUCUUCAAGAAAAAUUCUUGCACAUGUGUUUAUAUCCACACUGUCUAUAUGACCAAGAAAGCAGAAACAAUCCUAAUUAUCUAUCAACAAUGCAAUAAACAAAUACAACAGUGAAAAUAAAUGAAUAUAGCUACACACACUGACAUGGAUGGUCUCAGAAACACUGUGUGGUGAGGAAAAAGCAAGUUGCAGAAUGAUAUAUAUAUGGUAUGAUUUUGAAGGAUACCAGAAUAUACCACCUCCAAAUAUGCCUCCUUAGCAUAUGGAUUAUUUUGAGCUGAAGGCAAUUGAGAAUCAGCAGUCUUAGGUAAAGCUCUUUACCAUCCCCUACUACUUUAAAAUAUGGUAUAAAAUCCCUCUUUUGUAAAGAAAGUUUACAUUUAUAAAGGAAAUAUACCUUUGUAAAAGGUGUCUCCUCACCAGGAAGUAAGCUACUGGCAGACACAAUUGUUAUCAUCUGAAAGACUUACCUGGAUAACAAGACAACAUUUAUUACCACACAUUUCCUCCAUACAUUUCUUUCCAAUAACUUGCCUCCUCUAGCCACAAGCUCCCAAACCCCCUUUCCUUUUUGUGUAGCUUCAGGUGGUAUAUAGGUCUCAGUCAGCUAGCCACCUCCUCGUAUCUCUUUUCCUAGGGAAACUCCCAUGUAAGUACAGAACUAAAACUUUGUUUUUCUCUUAUUAAUUUGUAUUUUUAUUAGUUUGAUUCACAUGCCCAGCCAAUGAAAGUUAGGAGCCUAGAGGGUAAAAUUUCUCUCUCUCUCUCUCUCUCUCUCUCUCUCUCUCUCUCUCUCUCUCUCUCUCUCACACACACACACACACACACACACACACACAAUUCCAUUUGUAUAAGUUCAAAAACAUGCAAAAUUAAUUCAUAUAUUGUUUGGAAAAAUAAAUACAAUAUAUAUGAUAAAACUAAAAGCAAGGUGAUAACAGAAAUUGAGGAUAGUGGUUACUUCUGAGGCAGAAAGAGGACAAGAUUGGAGAGAGCACACAGAGAACUUCAAAGGUAGUGAUAAUGUUUUUUUGUUUUUGGUUUUGUUUUCCUUAAAAUUGGUAACAAGUUAAGAGGUUUUUGGUGUGUGUAGGUGUGUGUGUGUGUGUGUUUAAUGUCAUACAUGCUUUUGUGUCUAAUCAAUGUUUAAAGUAAUUUAAACUUAAAUGUCCAAAAACUAGUUAUAAAUUAAUAUGAAUAGAAUGAUUUUAAUUUAUGGAACAUCUGUUUCUAUUAUGUGCAUAAACAGCAAUGAAAGAUGUCUAUAAGGACAUAUAUUAAUCAUAUACUAUAAUAAACAUCUAUAUGGAC